CGAAUUCAAGCCGAAGCUUUGAACCUGUGCUUCGAGAUGCACUGCCAGCCAGUCUUGUUUGCAUCAUUUGCAUCAUAGCAUAUUUAUUUUCAAAAAAAAAAUGCAAUAAAAAAGAAAAAAUCAAAAGAAAAAAGAAAAAGAAAAAGCUAAUCUCUUCAUGCAUAUCAUUUCUUAGGUUCAUUCAGGAGUCUAUUCACUGUGAG
rnacentral:lncRNA from 1 species